UAUGGUGAUAGCAUUGGUGGAAACAUCAGGGCUACGGGUUCGCUCUCGAUCAACCAUGAUUUGCAAAACCUUCUACAAGUCUCACAACUUUGCCAAAUUUGGGGUUAGAUGACAAGUUCUAAUGUCAACCGUUUGAGGGCAAACCCUUUGUUAGUCAAAUACCUUCUUCUCUAAAUGGCGUCCAAAUAUCAAGGGUGAGAAGGUUGCUUAAGUCAUUUUCUGGUGACCAUGACUAUUCACGCCUGUGGUGGUGUUCACAUGUUGUCCAUAAUGAGAGCACGUACCAGUGAAAAUGGUUCCUUUUUAAAACUUGCUGUGCGUAUGAAGACCAACCCUGGGACGUCCCAGUGAUUCAUAAAGACAACUAGACUGCAAACAAUACACAGCUGCACCAUUUACACACUCCCAACCCAAGCAGCGUCAUUUCAAGGGAUCGGGGGAAGAAGGUAGAAGAACAGUGGGUCUUUAGAUUUAGAAGUGUCUGCACGAAACCUGGAAAAAGGUUUUCAGGUUGCAAUCCUUUCUCUGGAGAAGGCAAGAGGAGAGAAAAGCACAACGCGAGUCAAUGGGAUGAUCAUGGAAUGUUAAACAUUCCUUUAAAAUGCUUCUCUUAGUUUGUACGAUAAUAGUAUUUGGUUAGUCGGGCAAAAGUGCGACAAAUAAUAACUUGUACUAACUUGAACUUUGACAGAUUUACUCUAUUUACUUUAUAUCAAAGCCAUUCAUUUAAAAACCAAGCAAAAUUUGAAUUUAUUUCCCCGCAAUUGCAAUUUGGUAUUAUAACCGGCAAAAGUGAAUCAAGUGAACGGCAUCCAUAGAACUUAGUGUCAGUUAUUGUUGUGAGGUAAAGCGGUGCAGAGGUUUUAAAUCUAUCUGUAUUUGUUCAUGUUGUGAAGAAAUGAAUAGAAAUUGUAGGCAAAUUACAUUUAUAAAUCUAUCAAUGCACAGCCACACAGGCUGAAGUGAACUGAGGGCUUCAAAGAAAGCAUGUUGGGUUCAUGGCGGCUUCUCUUUUCAAUUAUCUUUGUUUUUUACUCUUACUUUACUUUGCACUUUGGGUUUGAGUCAAAGUCCACGCGGUUCGGGGAGAAGUCCACCGAUUGAUAUGAUAUAUAGAUAAAGCCUUAUUUGGUGCCGGGGAAUCCUGUAGAAUUGGAUUAUUGGCCUCAUGUUGUGUGUUUGCUGGGGUCGUAGACGACAUGAUAUAGAAAGAAGUCACUUCAUCAGAAGCUUCAGGAUACUUAGCAUUACUAGGGAUUCAUGCCGUAACUCGAUAUCUCCAAGGUAUCAACCCAGUGACAAGUAGUAUCUAACCUCUCCAAUCGGGCUAUACCUGCUAUUGGUUCUUUUUGUGCAUGGAUAUAGACCUCUACAUUUAUUUGUAUGGACUU
ensembl:lncRNA